rnacentral:rRNA from 1 species
GAUGAACGCUGGCGGCGUGCCUAAUACAUGCAAGUCGAGCGAACGGACGAGAAGCUUGCUUCUCUGAUGUUAGCGGCGGACGGGUGAGUAACACGUGGAUACUCUACCUAUAAGACUGGGAUAACCUCGGGAAACCGGAGCUAAUCCCGGAUGAUAUUUUGAACCGCAUGGUUCAAAAGUGAAAGACGGUCUUGCUGUCACUUAUCGAUGGAUCCCGGCUGCAUUAGCUAGUUGGUAAGGUAACGGCUUACCAAGGCAACGAUGCGUAGCCGACCUGAGUGACUGGUCGGCCACACUGGAGCGUGGACACGGACCAGACUACUACGGGAGGCAGCAGUAUGGAAUCGUCCGCAAUGGUCGAAAGCCUGACGGAGCAACGCCGCGUGAGUGAUGGAGGUCUUGGGAUCGUAAUACUCUGUUAUUAGGUAAGAACAUAUGUGUAAGUAACUGUGCACAUCGUGACGGUACCUAAUCAGAAAGCCACGGCUAACUACGUG